CUUGGCGGCCAUAGCGCGGUGGUCCCACCUGAUCCCAUGCCGAACUCAGAAGUGAAACGCCGUAGCGCC
rnacentral:rRNA from 1 species